rnacentral:rRNA from 1 species
AUGACCGAGACACAUCUCCGACCAAUAACCAACAUCGAAACCUGGAUGAUCAUAUUGGUUCCUACAUAUUCUACAAAGAUCUUUAUCAGUCAAACCGCGAUGACAACAUACGUCAUUCCCUUUGUCAUCAGAAAAUCUUCCCCUAUAGAGCAAGGAAACUCAUCAAUGCCAUGGCCCUCUGUUCUUCAUCCAGUGAUUUUCCAUACUAGUGAAAAUCUUGCCUCGGAUCAAAAUUCAGUAAUCUCUUAUAUUUUUCCGAGGUUCUACAAAGAUUCACAUACCCAUUUCUACACAUAUUGGACUAGUGGUGGAUCACUCGCGAAGGGUUGCAGUGACAUGAUUUGUCCUGGCUUUCGAAAGACAUCAUCGAGUAUAGCUCCGGGAAGUAUCAUUAAUCCAGUUUCAGAUAUCCGCGGCCAAAAAUCAUACAUUACAAUAAGAGUUUUCAAGGAUAAAUCUUCUGGUGACUAG